GCCUCUAUAGCUCAGUGGUAGAGCGCGUCACUCGUAUCGUGCUAUGCGAUAUGACGAGGUCCAUCGUUCGAUCCGGUGUGGAGGCA